UCGCAUCCCUGUGGAGUCACGCAGCUCUUAUAGGAAACUAUAAGAUGAAUAACUUUGGGAUAACGGUGAAGCCCUACAGCGAAAGCUCGGGUAAUACCGUGGGAACCCCGCUAUGGCGGGGGCGCCGUAGAGACUAGAUACCAGAGACUCUAAAUCUUAAUUCUAUUGAGACACGAGCAAGAUAUAGUCCACCCUAAUAUGAAAAUAUUAG
rnacentral:ncRNA from 1 species